UGGUAUGUAACUUCGUGGUAGAAUGGUAAGGACAUUUGCUUUUCACCCUGGAGUCCCGGGUUCGAUCCCCGGUCGAGCUAG